GGAGGGGUGGCAGAGCGGACGAAUGCGGCGGUCUUGAAAACCGUUGAGGCGCAAGCCUCCGUGGGUUCGAAUCCCACCCCCUCCGCCA
rnacentral:tRNA from 1 species